AGAAAAAAGAAAAGAAAGCUUUUUCUGCCUCAAUUGUAAUGAGAUAGUUUACAACUAGACAUUUUUACUUUAUGACAAUCCGCUGGUGUCGACCCUUUCUGCUAAAGAUAAUCCAUAAUCUCCCAGCAAAAUUGCAUUAUUGGACUUGGUUUCUGUGUAACUGGCAACGAAUGUGACUUCAGUUCUGUUCAAAUUCUGUGAAGAUCUGCAAUGAAUAUUGUUUACCCAGCAGGUGGAUAUGACGUCACGGACUCGGAACAUCAGAAAAUAACAACAUCCAAAUCCGCGAUUCCGUUUUCUUUUAUAGCGCAUUAAAUUGUAUUAACAUUAGAAGGAGCUCGCUCUCGUAUUUGAGACAGAAGGUGUUGUGAAACUCUAGAUUAUUCUCCCUGUAACGGCGCUCUCCGUGAAAGCAGCAGAGAUAUCUUCUCGUAGUUAAAGUUAGUCCCCCCAAGCGGAGUAAUAUUGUUAGUAUUUACAGUGUGAUUGUUGCAUGCUUUCUUGGUACACAAGAUCGCGUGUACAGUUCAUUAUCUCUAGCACAGAAUUGUCUACUGCGUCCACCUACCAUUGUCGAUUCCGUGUCAUCUGUGAACUGCUGAUGAUCCCGCCUCCAAAGAACCUAAGCUGAAUUCUCAUUGGAAGAAUGGAGCGCCAGUCUUUCCUACACGAGUGAACACGCCAAGAGACUCCAGUGGUGACCCCCUUUGGAGACAGAAAUCAAAUGCUGGUGUCUGGUGGAAUCUGAACACUAUGUGUGCAUGCAGGUACAGGGGAAAACAUCACAACAUGUCCUCUGGGAUGUGUGCUGAAUGGACACGUAAUAACACCCCCUUCCAAUAACUACAGCACAUAAAGGGAAAAAUAUACAAAGGUAAAUACCUCACCCACUGGUCCUGAAUGUCCAUCUAACAAGGACUACCAGAAACUACUUUUUAAAUAUACUGAACAGAAAUGUAAUCGCAACCUGUAAAGUAUUGGUCCCAUCUAAAAUGUGCAGUUUUGUCACAAUAGAAUACCACAGAUGUCUUUAAGCUUUGAGGGAGCAUGCAAUUGGCAUGCUGACUGCAGGAAUGUCCACCUGAGCUGUUGGCAGAUCAUUUUAUGUUAAUUUCUCUACCAUAAGCCGCUUCCAACGUUGCUUUAGAGAAUUUGGCAGUACGUUCAACCAGCCUCACAACCGCAGACCACAUGUAACCAUGCCAGCCCAGGACCUCCACACCUGGCUUCUUUACCUGCGGGAUCGUCUGAGACCAGCCACCUGGACAGCUGAUGAAACCUAGGAGUAUUUAUUUCUGUAAUAAAGAACAAAUUCUGAUUGGCUGGGUCUGGCUCCCCAGUGGGUGGGUCUAUGCACUCCCAGGCCCACCCAUGGCUGCACCCCUGCUCAGUCAUGUGAAAUCCAUAGAUUAGGGCCUAAUGAAUUUAUUUCAAUUGACAAUUUCCUUCUAACUCAGUAAAAUCUUUGAAAUUGUUGCAUGUUGCGUUUAUAUUUUUGUUCAGUAUAUAAUUAUAAACUGGGUGGUUCGAGCCCUGAAUGCUGAUUGACUGACAACCGUGGUAUAUCAGACUGUAUACCAUGGGUAGGACAAAAUGUUUAGUUUUACUUCUCUAAUUACGUUGGUAACCAGUUUAUAAUAAAGCACUUCUGGAGUUUGUGGUAUAUGGCCAAUAUACCAUGGCUAAGGGCUGUGUCCAGGCACUCUGCGUUGCGUUGUGGCUAAGAACAGCCCUUAGUCGUGGUAUAUUGGCCAUAUACCUCAUCCCCUCGGGCCUUAUUGCUUAAAUGAAAUGCACAGGUUUUUAAUUUACUAUGGAAAACACAGGGGCCACAUGUAUCAUUUGACAUUUAACAGCCCAGAGAGACAUCUCUAUUGAAAUGAAUGGAAGUGAAGUGUGGACUAGCCACCAUUUGGUGCUGUGUAGAACAAGUGGUGGCCAGAGAGCACAUAUUUAACUGUCCUUGUGGAAGUUCACAUCUGGUGUGUGGAGCUGGGCGACUCGACGGCAGGGCAGUCCCUCCCCCGACGCCACUCUCACAUUUCAUCAUCUGUUCUCCAGCACCGGGGAGCUCCGGCAUAAGUUGGCUGCUCUGGAUCCAUCUGUUGUUAUUAUUUUCCACUGAUAAUUGGCUUGAACAAUGGAAUGCCUGUGUCUCCCUGCCUUUGAAACCAUACACCCUGUUUAUUUUCCAGACGUCUCAUUUCUGCUCUCUCCUUCUUUCUUUCCCUCUA